UACGUAGGUGGCAAGCGUUGUCCGGAAUUAUUGGGCGUAAAGCGCGCGCAGGUGGUUUCUUAAGUCUGAUGUGAAAGCCCACGGCUCAACCGUGGAGGGUCAUUGGAAACUGGGGAACUUGAGUGCAGGAGAGAAGAGUGGAAUUCCACGUGUAGCGGUGAAAUGCGUAGAGAUGUGGAGGAACACCAGUGGCGAAGGCGGGUCUCUGGGCCGUAACUGACGCUGAGGAGCGAAAGCGUGGGGAGCGAACAGG
rnacentral:rRNA from 1 species